rnacentral:rRNA from 1 species
UACGUAGGGUGCAAGCGUUGUCCGGAAUUAUUGGGCGUAAAGAGCUCGUAGGCGGUCUGUCGCGUCUGCUGUGAAAACUCGGGGCUUAACCCCGGGCCUGCAGUGGGUACGGGCAGACUAGAGUGCGGUAGGGGAGACUGGAAUUCCUGGUGUAGCGGUGAAAUGCGCAGAUAUCAGGAGGAACACCGGUGGCGAAGGCGGGUCUCUGGGCCGUAACAGACGCUGAGGAGCGAAAGCAUGGGGAGCGAACAGG